GGUGUUGGAAGUCCCGGUCCCUGCAUUGGAGAAGGCGCUUAGGCAAAUCCGGGCGCGGAAAUGAAGGACGUGGUAGCCUGCGAAAAGCUUCGGGGAGCUGGCAAACGAGCUUUGAUCCGGAGAUGUCCGAAUGGGGAAACCCGGCCCGAAUGGGUCAUCCCUGACUGAAUACAUAGGUCAGGGAAGCGAACGCGGCGAACUGAAACAUCUAAGUAGCUGCAGGAACAGAAAUCAACCGAGAUUCCCAAAGUAGUGGCGAACGAAAUGGGAAGAGCCUUGUACUCUUUAGCAGCAUUGUUAGCAGAACGGGAUGGAAAGCCCGGCCAUAGCAGGUGAUAGCCCUGUAUGCGAAAACAGCGUUGUGGAACUAGGUGUACGACAAGUAGGGCGGGACACGUGAAAUCCUGUCUGAAGAUGGGGGGACCAUCCUCCAAGGCUAAAUACUCGUAAUCGACCGAUAGUGAACCAGUACCGUGAGGGAAAGGCGAAAAGAACCCCGGGAGGGGAGUGAAAUAGAUCCUGAAACCGCAUGCAUACAAACAGUCGGAGCCUGGAAACGGGUGACGGCGUACCUUUUGUAUAAUGGGUCAGCGACUUACAUUCAGUGGCAAGCUUAACCGAUUAGGGAAGGCGUAGCGAAAGCGAGUCCGAAUAGGGCGUUGAGUCGCUGGGUGUAGACCCGAAACCAGAUGAUCUAUCCAUGGCCAGGUUGAAGGUGCGGUAACACGUACUGGAGGACCGAACCCACUAACGUUGAAAAGUUAGGGGAUGAGCUGUGGAUAGGGGUGAAAGGCUAAACAAAUCUGGAAAUAGCUGGUUCUCUCCGAAAACUAUUUAGGUAGUGCCUCGUGUCUCACCUUCGGGGGUAGAGCACUGUCAUGGUUGGGGGGUCUAUUGCUGAUUACCCCGCCAUAGCAAACUCCGAAUACCGAAGAGUGCAAUCACGGGAGACAGACAUCGGGUGCUAACGUCCGGUGUCAAGAGGGAAACAACCCAGACCGCCAGCUAAGGUCCCAAAGAUUGGCUAAGUGGGAAACGAAGUGGGAAGGCUAAAACAGUCAGGAGGUUGGCUUAGAAGCAGCCACCCUUUAAAGAAAGCGUAAUAGCUCACUGAUCGAGUCGUCCUGCGCGGAAGAUGUAACGGGGCUAAGCCAGUCACCGAAGCUGCGGACGCACGCAAGUGCGUGGUAGGAGAGCGUUCUGUAAGCCUGUGAAGGUGUCUUGUAAAGGAUGCUGGAGGUAUCAGAAGUGCGAAUGCUGACAUGAGUAGCGAUAAAGGGGGUGAAAGGCCCCCUCGCCGUAAGCCCAAGGUUUCCUACGCAACGUUCAUCGGCGUAGGGUGAGUCGGCCCCUAAGGCGAGGCAGAGAUGCGUAGCUGAUGGGAAGCAGGUUAAUAUUCCUGCACCGUCGUAUGAUGCGAUGGGGGGACGGAUCGCGGAAGGUUGUCCGGGUGUUGGAAGUCCCGGUCCCUGCAUUGGAGAAGGCGCUUAGGCAAAUCCGGGCGCGGAAUUCAAGGAUGUGGGGCGAGCGGCCUAGUGCUGCGAAGCAAUUGGAAGUGGUUCCAAGAAAAGCCUCUAAGCUUCAGUCAUACGAGACCGUACCGCAAACCGACACAGGUGGGCGAGAUGAGUAUUCUAAGGCGCUUGAGAGAACUCGGGAGAAGGAACUCGGCAAAUUGGUACCGUAACUUCGGGAUAAGGUACGCCCUUGUAGCUUGACUGGCCUGCGCCAGGAGGGUGAAGGGGUUGCAAUAAAAUGGUGGCUGCGACUGUUUAAUAAAAACACAGCACUCUGCAAACACGAAAGUGGACGUAUAGGGUGUGACGCCUGCCCGGUGCCGGAAGAUUAAAUGAUGGGGUGCAAGCUCUUGAUUGAAGUCCCGGUAAACGGCGGCCGUAACUAUAACGGUCCUAAGGUAGCGAAAUUCCUUGUCGGGUAAGUUCCGACCUGCACGAAUGGCGUAACGAUGGCCACACUGUCUCCUCCCGAGACUCAGCGAAGUUGAAGUGUUUGUGAUGAUGCAAUCUCCCCGCGGCUAGACGGAAAGACCCCAUGAACCUUUACUGUAGCUUUGCAUUGGACUUUGAACCGAUCUGUGUAGGAUAGGUGGGAGGCUUUGAAGCGUGGACGCUAGUUCACGUGGAGCCGUCCUUGAAAUACCACCCUGGUUUGUUUGAGGUUCUAACCUUGGCCCGUGAAUCCGGGUCGGGGACAGUGCAUGGUAGGCAGUUUGACUGGGGCGGUCUCCUCCCAAAGUGUAACGGAGGAGUUCGAAGGUACGCUUGGUACGGUCGGACAUCGUACCUAAAGUGCAAUGGCAAAAGCGUGCUUAACUGCGAGACCGACAAGUCGAGCAGGUGCGAAAGCAGGACAUAGUGAUCCGGUGGUUCUGAAUGGAAGGGCCAUCGCUCAACGGAUAAAAGGUACUCUGGGGAUAACAGGCUGAUACCGCCCAAGAGUUCAUAUCGACGGCGGUGUUUGGCACCUCGAUGUCGGCUCAUCUCAUCCUGGGGCUGUAGCCGGUCCCAAGGGUAUGGCUGUUCGCCAUUUAAAGAGGUACGUGAGCUGGGUUUAAAACGUCGUGAGACAGUUUGGUCCCUAUCUGCCGUGGGCGUUGGAAUCUUGACGGGGGCUGCUCCUAGUACGAGAGGACCGGAGUGGACGUACCGCUGGUGUACCUGUUGUCUCGCCAGAGGCAUCGCAGGGUAGCUAUGUACGGAAGAGAUAACCGCUGAAAGCAUCUAAGCUUCAGUCAUACGAGACCGUACCGCAAACCGACACAGGUGGGCGAGAUGAGUAUUCUAAGGCGCUUGAGAGAACUCAGGAGAAGGAACUCGGCAAAUUG
rnacentral:rRNA from 1 species